GAAAGUCCUUCGGGAUGAGUAAAGUGGCGCACGGGUGAGUAAUACAUGGGAACAUGCCCUCAAAUGGGGAAUAACGUUUGGAAACGAACGCUAAUACCGCAUAAUCUCGCAAGAGUAAAGGUGGCGCCGCAAGGGCUACCGUUUGAGGAUUGGCCCAUGUCCCAUUAGCUAGUUGGUGAGGUAAUGGCUCACCAAGGCUACGACGGGUAGGGGACCUGAGAGGGUGACCCCCCACAAUGGAACUGAGACACGGUCCAUACACCUACGGGUGGCAGCAGUAGGGAAUAUUGCACAAUGGGCGAAAGCCUGAUGCAGCAACGCCGCGUGUGCGAUGAAGGCCUUCGGGUCGUAAAGCACUUUUCUGAGGGAUGAGCAAGGACAGUACCUCAGGAAUAAGUCUCGGCUAACUACGUGCCAGCAGCCGCGGUAAAACGUAGGAGGCGAGCGUUAUCCGGAUUUACUGGGCGUAAAGCGCACGCAGGCGGCUUCGUUAGUCGGGUGUGAAAGCUCCUAGCUUAACUGGGGGAGGCCAUUCGAUACUGCGAGGCUUGAGGUUGGGAGAGGGGUGUGGAAUUCCCGGUGUAGUGGUGGAAUGCGUAGAUAUCGGGAGGAACACCUGUGGCGAAAGCGGCACCCUGGCCCACACCUGACGCUGAGGUGCGAAAGCGUGGGGAGUAAACAGGA
rnacentral:rRNA from 1 species